ACGUGUUGCGGAAUACAAGCGAUAGGCCCUUUGGAUCUUCUGCACAAUAAGGCGACGCAGCGCAAUACGGACGCGCAGCGUUGAACGUCAACCAUGACUUGUCGGUGACAGAUCUCAAACAAUGACAUCAGCACCAUACGAAUGAAAUCAUACUCUCGUGAUAGUGAAGAAAUGAUGAAAAGUUACAUAUUUAUGUCCAAUAAUUGCGUUUUGUACAACUAUAAGGUUUAUAAACUGAAUUCGAUAAAUUAGUAAUCCUAUAGUUGAGGUCAGUAAUGAAUUUAAUUGGUUAUUCUAAAGAAAUCAUGCAACUUAAAACUAUUUCUGGAACAUGCGACAAAAACACAUUUUUAUAUGAUUCAUUCCUAAAAUUACAGUACUGGCAAAUCAAUUAUUUACUCUAAAGUGAUCUUACAUACUAAAUUAAAUACUAAAUAGUACGGAAUCUGCUCUAACCUCUAAAGCCAAGGCUGGAAUCAAAGUUGGAUUGUUCGGAUAGUUGGUAAACUAAUUUUCGAGUUAGCGGAAAAACCGAACUACGAAACCGUUUUUUAACAUCCUCGAAAAUUACUGCAUCCAAUCAGGUUCCAGCCAGUAAUGAGCAGUGCAGCGAUGCAGUCUGUCAACCACUGCAAGGCAUGCAAUCGGCCGGACCAUGCCGACGAUAUGGUUGCAUGCGAUAUUUGUGGAACUUGGUUCCACUACACUUGUGCAGGAGUUCAA